UUGUCCCUGCCUUGUGCGUGGAGAGGGCAAAUCCGAACCGAACAUUUUUAUGUCGGGAACUAGCUCAAUACAGACCGUGUGCAUGUUCCAGAUGAUCACUGGAAAAGCCUGACGUCUCUAUACUGGCGCCCACCUAACGUCCCGGUUUGAUCUUUACCUCCACCACGGCAAGCGCGGGGAUUUA
rnacentral:other from 1 species